rnacentral:rRNA from 1 species
CUAUAAGUUACUAAGGGCUUAAGGUGGAUGCCUUGGGACUGGAUGGCGAUGAAGGACGUGCAAAUCUGCGAUAAGCGAUGGGGAAGCGAUAAGAGCUGAUGAUCCAUCGAUUUCCGAAUGAGGAAACUCAAAUAAUAGAAGUAUUAUUUAUUAUUAAAUGAAUUCAUAGUUUAAUAAAGCGAUACCCACAGAAGUGAAUCAUCUCAGUACGUGGAGGAAAAGAAAACAAAGUGAUUCCGUUAGUAGUGCGAGCGAACGCGGAAGAGGGCAAACCGAUCUUCGGAUCGGGGUUGUAGGACUACAAUGUGGACUUAAGAUAUAUAGUGGAAGCUGUUGGGAAGCAGCGCGAUAAAAUGUGAUAGCCAUGUACACGAAAUAUAUCUUAUACCUAGUAGAAUCCUGAGUAGUGCGAGACACUCGAAAUCUUGCAUGAAUCCGGGCCGACCAUGGUCCAACCCUAAAUACAAACCAGUCACCGAUAGAGAAUAGUACAGUGAUGGAACGGUGAAAAGAACCCAGAGAUGGGAGUGAAAUAGAAACUGAAACCAUAAGCCUACAACGAGUCAGAGCCCAUUAAUGGGUGAUGGCGUGCGUUUUGAAGUAUGAGCCGGAGAGUUAUUGUUGCAUGCAAGCUUAAGCAGUAGAUGUGGAGGCGCAGGGAAACCGAGUGUUAAUAGCGCGAAAUUUAUAGUAUGUAAGAAUAGACCCGAAACCGUGUGAUCUAGCCAUGGGCAGGUUGAAGGUAAGGUAAAACUUACUGGAGGACCGAACCCACUUUCGUUGAAAUGACAGGGGAUGACCUGUGGCUAGGGCAGAAAUUGCAAUCGAACACGGUGAUAGCUGGUUCUCAUCGAUAUAGCUUUUAGGCUAGCGUCAGAUUAUUUGGAUUGGUGGCGGUAAAGCGCUGACUGACUGAUGGCUCCACCUCGGGGUACUGAAUUCAAUCAAACUGGGAAUUCCACCAAUCCUAUUCUGGCAGUCAGACUGCGGGGGCUAAGCUCCGUAGUCGUGAGGGGAAGAACCCAGAUCAUUAUCUAAGGUCCCAAAUUUAUGCUAAGUGGAAAAGGAUGUUGGAAUUCUUAAACACCAAGGAUGUUGGCUUAGAAGCAGCCAUCGUUUAAAGAGUGCGUAACAGCUCACUUGUCGAGAAAUCCUGCGCCGAAAAUUCAACGGGGCUAAGCAUAAAACCGAAGAUAUGGGUUGUUAAAUUUUACGAAAUUUAGCAGCGGUAGAUGAGCGUUGUAUACUGCGAUGAAGGUAAAGCGUGAGCAUUGCUGGAGUGUAUACAAGUGAGAAUUCCGGUGUGAGUAACGAUUGAAUGUGAGAAUCAUUCAUGCCUAUUGACUAAGGUUUCCAGGACUAGGGUCGUCCUUCCUGGGUUAGUCGGAUCCUAACGCGAGGCCGAAAGGCGUAGUGGAUGGAAAAAAUGUUAAUAUUCAUUUACUUGGUAUAAAGGUGAAGGAGUGACGGAGAAGGUUAUUGCAGGCCGGUUAAUGGAUUCCGGUGAAAGUGCAAAGUCUUGAGAGUAGGCAAAUCCGCUCUCUAUAAGGAUAAUGUACGAGACAAAUGAAAACUUCGGUUAGUAAGCAAGCUGCAUAUAUCACGCUUCCUAGAAAAACUUCUAAACUUAACUUUAUAUCAAUCCGUACCGAGAACGAACACACGUGGUCAAGCUUAAGUAAGCUAAGGCAAGCGAGUUAAUUAUUGUCAAGGAACUCUGCAAAAUGAUCCCGUAAGUUAGCGAUAAGGGAUGCUCAUCGUAAGGUGAGCCUCAGAAAAAAGUGAGUGGCGACUGUUUAUCAAAAACACAGCUUUAUGCUAAAUCGUAAGAUGAUGUAUAUGAGGUGACUUCUGCCCAGUGCUGGAAGGUUAAAGAAGCGUGUUAGGUGUUAAAACCGAAGCUCGCGACUGAAGCCCUAGUGAACGGCGGCCGUAACUAUAACGGUCCUAAGGUAGCUCGAUUCCUUCUCGGGUAAAUUCCGUGUAUGCGAAAGGAGUAACGACCUCUUAACUGUCUCGACAAUAAACUCGGUGAAAUCCUGGUAGGGGUGAAGACGCCCCUUUGGCGUAGUGGGACGGAAAGACCCCAUGAAGCUUUACUGUAACUUCAUAUUGAGUAAAUAAAUGACUUUUAAAGCAUAAGCGGGAGACUUUGAAGCGAGGACGCUAGUUCUUGUGGAGUCAUCACUGUAAUACCGCUAUUGUUAUUUAUUUAUUCUAACCUGCAGGUGUCAUCCACCUGGGGGACAGUGUGUGGCGGGCAGUUUGACUGGGGCGGUCGCCUCCUAAAAUGUAACGGAGGUGCGCAAAGGUACAUUCAGUAUGGUUGGAAAUCAUACGGCGAGCGUAAUGGUAUAAAGUGUGCUUGACUGCGAGACUUACAAGUCGAGCAGGUAAGAAAUUAGGUCAUAGUGAUCCGGUGGUUCCGAAUGGAAGGGCCAUCGCUCAUCGGAUAAAAGUUACUCUGGGGAUAACAGGCUGAUAGUGUCCAAGAGUUCAUAUCGACGACACUGUUUGGCACCUCGAUGUCGACUCAUCUCAUCCUGGAGCUGUAGCAGGUUCCAAGGGUUCGGCUGUUCGCCGAUUAAAGAGAUACGUGAGUUGGGUUCAAACCGUUGUGAAACAGGUUGGUCCCUAUCUGCUAUGCCCGCAGGAAGAUUGAAGAAAGUUGCCCCUAGUACGAGAGGAUCGGGGUGAAGUUACCUCUUAUGCUCCAAUUGUCGCGCCAGCGGCACCGUUGGGUAGUAACGUAGCGAAAGGAUAAGCGCUGAAAGCAUAUAAGCGCGAAGCCUCUUCUAAGAUAAAUCUUCCCUACCCGCAAGGGUAAUAAGAACCGUCAUAGACUAUGACGUUGAUAGGAUACAUGUGUAAGUGGAGUGAUCCAUUGAGCUGAGUAUUACUAAUCAUUCGAAAGACUUUUAGAA